AUGUUAACCGAAGAUGAGUUCGAGACGACAUGGGAUAUGUUACUGGAUAAGUACAAUUUGCGGAAGGGGCUAGGACCAUACUUUAGAGUUGUUUUCAGUGCCAAGAUGACCAACACACAACGCAGCGAGAGUGCUAAUCACAUGGGUUCUCAACUGCAGGUUAUGGAAAUACUUCACCUAGAAGAGAUUCCAGGUAAACAUAUUGUGAAACGGUCGAUGAAGGACGCAGGGGGCAUUUUUCCGAGCCAUCUGCAGCAGUACCAAAAGGACAAGCGAAGCAACAUAUCAUUCACAUGGAGGCAUUCGACACUGUACUUCAAAGCUAUGGACGUCGUUCGCAUGGGGGGUGCUAGUGCAGAAUCAUUUGACUUCAUGGAUGCUGCACUGGAUGAUCUACUAGUGCGUGGAGCACCUAUUGCAGAAAGGAGAGAUGGACUCGGGCUUGAGGAUCGCGUGACAACCUUGGACCCUGGGAGGCAAACUGGCAAUGGAGAGGUUGCUUUCAUGGUCGCUACAGGUGCCGAUAAAGAGAAUAGCAUGGCACAUUUUGUCAGCGUCAAUGACUUGCAAGGGCUAGCAGCACCCGCUAAGCAUAGGGGGGGGGGGUUGGUAGGCCAACAAACAGCAGGGAGAAGGCGCCAUACGAAAGGCUCAGUCGACGUACACGGUUCUGCAGCAUCUGCAGGAGGGAAGGACACAAAAGAACUACAUGUCCGGACAGAGGGGACGCACCGAAGAAGCCUAGGAAACCUGGGCGAUGCAAGAACUGCGGAAUCGAAGGUCACCGCCGGAACACGUGCACUAGGCCAUUGGGCUUCGCUGCAAACUAGAUUUCGAUAG
rnacentral:rRNA from 1 species